UACGGGGGGAGCAAGCGUUGUUCGGAAUUACUGGGCGUAAAGGGCGCGUAGGCGGCCUGCUAAGUCGAACGUGAAAUCCCCGGGCUCAACCCGGGAACUGCGUCCGAUACUGGUUGGCUUGAAUCCGGGAGAGGGAUGCGGAAUUCCAGGUGUAGCGGUGAAAUGCGUAGAUAUCUGGAGGAACACCGGUGGCGAAGGCGGCAUCCUGGACAGGCAUUGACGCUGAGGCGCGAAAGCCAGGGGAGCAAACGGG
rnacentral:rRNA from 1 species